CGCAUUUCCCCUCUCUCCGUCAUCUCGCCUCUUCCCCUUCUCCCAACAACCCUAGCCUAAAUCAACCAGAUCCCACUUCACAUCCAAUCCUUUGUGGCCGAGUUCAUCGCCGUUGCAACCUCGCGAUUGAAUCUGUCGACCUCUAUCUCUACUUAUUGGAAUAUAUAGAGGACUAACUCUAUAAUCUCCAGGACCGCAAAAAGGAUAUUAGGAACCUCAAAUUCGACAGCACGCAUAGGCCAAACCUCUACGAGGAUGAGUAAAGUUAAAUUUCAAGCCUCGUCGACAACAUGAAGAAGCAUCGUAUCAUCUACAAGUCAAAUCGGGUAAGAACCUUGCUCGAACCUUUUUCCUAUUUACUUAUUUUGGGAUGGAUUUCUAUAUAUCUAGAUCUUGGUUAGUAGAUUUAUUGUGGUUUUUCAUCCAACAAACACUACUGUAGAACAUACCUUUCGUACCGGUGAGUAACCCCUUUUAGUACCGAGCGUCUGAUCAGUAUCGCUUGUUCGGUACUAACUGCCACGCAUCGUCACAAGUCACAAGUCACAAGUCACGCGAAUUUCACACGUAAUAAGCGCGUGCAAGGUCCGUGGGAUUCGAACCCACGACCUUAAGUCUUACGCGAACUUUCCUUACCAUCUCACAUACAUAGGACAUGUGAUGGAGUUAGAUAUGCUUUCCUUUUGAAGUAACCUGUGCCGGUUGGUGUUAUUACCCGGUAGUAAAUGGUACUCCACGAGAUACUAGUGUUAUUGCCCGGUACUAAAGGGUCCAUGCUAGUACCGGUUGGUGUUAUUGUCCAGUACUAAAAGGCCUCCGAGGACCAAAAAUAUCUACCCGGUACUAAUUUUGUGCGUUAGUACCAGACGAAAAGCCGUCCCGUACUAACGUCAAGAACGAAUGCUCAUAUUUCUAGUAGUGAAAUAGAAACAUGUGAAACUAUGGCCCUCGUCUCUCGUUUAUUAGAGGAUUGCACAAAGCCUAUGAUUAGGUCAGGGAACAAGGGAAAAAGGAAAAGUUAUGGUUUAAUAUCAUGCGUGAUUUUUGCACUUCUCAAUCGUUGUUGGUAACAAAAGAUCUAGCUUUCAAAUUUUAUUUGGGGAAAGCUAGCUAUACCACGCUUGAGCAUUUUUCAUCUCCCCCACGUCCAAAUUUAAUUUUCGCUCAUACAGCUUUCCCAUCUUCAAAUCCGGCGAGCUCCGGAGAGAGCUUUUUAGGGUUCAGGGGGUACCUAUAUCCGAUGGACCUAGAGAAAGAUCCAGGGGGUAGGGUAGCAGGCGGUGGUCGCAAUCGAGAUGGCAAUGAGGCGGGCUGGGGUGGUGGGGGUGCCGCCAGACGGAGUGGUGACAUAUUCCUGGUUGGGUUGUGGAGGUGGUGGGGGUGUCGAGAUUUGAUCUGUUAGCGACGAGGCUGGUGGACGGGGCGGCGGAGGCAUCGCUGGAGCGGGGGCAGUGGGGGCUGCCAGGGUAUCUCGUGACUUGGGCGGCGAUGCUCGCGACUUGCAACGAGACAUGAUAGGGUGGAGCGUAGGGGACGAGAUGAGGGGGACGAAGUUCAUCACAACUGUACGUUUUAAAUCCAGUGGCUACAAAAUUCAAGUGCAGGUUGACCCUCCAACACUUAAGUAUUAAAUCGACGGUCUCGUUUAUUUCUUAGGAAAAGGUUCUUCUCCCAUUUUCAACUGAACAUGCGCAUAGAGCUACAGAUUUGAAGCCUAUGAUCAUGCAGCAGACGAGUCCGUGAAAUUAUCCCCGACCAUGGACUGGUCGGGCUCGACGGCCAGUGCCGGCAGGUGGGGCAGCUCGCGGCGGUUAGGGGCGGCGGGAGCCGAGCCUGACUCCGUGCUGCUCAGUUCGCUACUCGAAGUAUCGGGGACCGGAUCGUUGAGAUCGGGUACGCCCGGCACGAAAGCCACCGCGUAGAGUCCACCGCCAGUGGCGGCGGAGCCUGGACGGUAGUGUAGCCGCAUGUACUGUGGCGCCGCCUCGCGCCGGAACGCGAACACCGGCGGUGCGACGCGCUCCUGGUGCUGUGCCGCGGCGCCCGCUGGCGCAGGCACCCAGCAGCGGAUCAGCGGCGCCUGACGCCGAGGCGCCUGCUGCUGCUGGCGCGCGGGCUCCGCAGCACGCCUUGCCCGCGCGAGAUCCGCUGCAAUGACCUCCCUCGCCGCUGGCGCCGCCGAGAGCUCGGGGAAGUUGGGCCUCGCCCAGCGCCCAAGAACGCUCCUCGCGGCGGCGUCGUAGGCGUACGCGGCCUCCACGGCAGUCCCGUACGAGCCGAGCCGGAUGGCCUUCUUCAAGAACGGGUUCCAGAUCGUGGCGGCGUACCUCCUGCCACGCAUCUGCACGCCGCGGUACCUCGUCGCCGGCUGCACGGCCGCCUCGCGCGCCGCCCGGCCGUCGGCCCUCGCCGCCGCCGCCGCCUGCCUCGCCAGCUCGACAACUCUGCCCGGCCCCGGCAUCCUCGACCGGAGCGCUAGCUAUCUGCCUAUCUCUCGCCUCUCGAUCGACCGAGAUCGCGGUGCCGCCUACCGCUGAAUGCCUGCGGUUUAAGUUCUCAGUUCGAGCUCGCAUGCCUCCAAACCAGCCACGCCGACCGCUCGCAGCCUCGCACCUUUCGCCUGGCCACGUCGAUCGCUUGCCGUGUUUGCUUCGAGCGUUACGGCGGCGAGCGCGAGCUUUUCUUUCCCUGGCUCGCCCUCGUUAUGCUGUGGGGACUGCGCGAACGCGUGGCGUUCGGCGGCGGACGCCACAGUUCAGCAAGUGUCCAGCCGCGCGCGCGGGCGUUGUGGGCUGCUCCUGCCGGACCUCGGCCGCUUCCUCGAUCGUCAAACAAGUGACGAUAUCCCCGUGUUCAAUACUACCUCUGAGCUACGAGAUGUUGUCAGGUGCGCGGCUUGCUUGCGUCGGUGGUGGGUGUUCGAUCGGUGGCAACGCAACAAUGUGAUUGUCUUAAUUUGCAUGACACGGCAGUCCCGCACCAAGAAACUACUGAACUACCCCCGUGAUAAAUUGUCUUAGUAAAAAAGAUGAACUGGUAAACGAGAUAUUUUGUCAAGUAAUGGACGGAUGAGCAAAUGACUUGGUAAUAAGGUUUGGAAAAAAAUUGGAAAUUUUAAGAGAUGAGAGAGAGAUGUUUGAGAGGGCUAGGGUUGGGAGAAAGAAAUUCCAAGCAUUAGAUAUGCCUAUCUUUAUUUGCGGCUGCAUAAAUGACGUUUCAAGAGUGCUGACGUAUGGGGCGGGAUGUCGUGUGUUGCGUGUCAUCCAUGUCACGUCCAUAUCAGAGCAAGUCACGAGAAUGAUGCUACGAAUGUUUAUGUCCGUAUACGGCCUUUAGUCCCUAUAUAUACCCCUAGCGGCCUCCGAACGAACGCAUCGACACAUCAUUCCCCUCACUCCGCCGCCUCGCCUCUUCCCCUUUCCGCUACAUCCCUAGCCUAAAUCAAUCAAAUCCAACUUCACUUCCAAUACUUUUAUAUCCUGGUGGAAUCCAUCGACCUUCGUCACUACUUAUUGAAAUAUAUAUGACUAACUAUAUCAUCUACAGGACCGCAAAAGGGCUAGGAAUCUCAAAUUCGACAGCACACAUGGGCCAAAGCUAUAUGAGGGUGAGGAAGGUUAAAUUUCGAGCAUCAUCGACAACACGAAGAAAAGCGUCAUAUCAUAUCGUCUACAAGCCAGAUAUGGUAAGAACCUUGCUCAAACUUUUUCCAGCCGAUUUACUUAUUUGGGGAUGAAUUUCUUUAUAUCUAGAUAUUGGUUAGUUGAUUUAUUGUGAUUAUCAUCCACCAAAUAGAAACAUGUCAAAGCACGGCCCCUUUCUCUCGUUUAUUAGAUGUUUGCACACAGGCUCUUAUUAGGUUGGGGAACAAGGGAAAAGGAAAUGUUAUGGUUUAAUUUCAUGCUUGAUUUUUUGCAAUUCUGACCGUUGUUGGUAACAAAAGAUCUAGCUUUCCAUUUUUAUUUCUUAGGAAAGGAUUCAAUUCUCCACUGUUUAAGUGGACACAGACGUAGAGCCAACAGAUUUGAAGACAAUAAUCACUUGCUCUACCUCUAAGAACAAACCAUGAAUCGGUUUCUUGUCCAGGUUUCUUAAGGCCUCGUUUGGCACGGCUUUAGCUCAUGAAAAAACAGCUCUGGCUCUAGCUCCUAUGGAAAAGCAACUUUUUCUAGCUCUGGCUUAUUCUGUACGAAAACGUUUGGCAAAACAGCUUCUCCUAGCUUUUUGAAUGUAAAGAAGAUGUCAAAUGUCCAAAAUACCCUUAUAUUUUUUUCUCUCUUUUCUUUUUCUUUUUUAUCUUCAUUUUCUUUUUCUUUUUCUUUCCUUUUUUAUUUCUCUUUCCUCCCCCCUCUUUUCUUUUCCCCUCCUCUCCCUCCUCUCUCCUCAUCCUAGGCCCACCGCCCCUCCUCUCUCCUUAUCCGAUCCCAGCCGCCCCCUCCUCCCUCCCGGACUCUCC
rnacentral:lncRNA from 1 species